rnacentral:rRNA from 1 species
UGCGGAGGGUGCAAGCGUUGCUCGGAAUUACUGGGCGUAAAGGGCUCGUAGGUGGCCAACUAAGUCAGACGUGAAAUCCCUCGGCUUAACCGGGGAACUGCGUCUGAUACUGGAUGGCUUGAGGUUGGGAGAGGUAAGCGGAAUUCCUGGUGUAGCGGUGAAAUGCGUAGAUAUCAGGAGGAACACCUGUGGUGUAGACAGCUUACUGGACCACUUCUGACGCUGAGACACGAAAGCGUGGGUAGCAAACAGG